rnacentral:rRNA from 1 species
UACAGAGGUCUCAAGCGUUGUUCGGAUUCAUUGGGCGUAAAGGGUGUGUAGGUGGCGCCGUAAGUCGGGUGUGAAAUCUCGGGGCUUAACUCCGAAACUGCAUUCGAUACUGCGGUGCUUGAGGACUGGAGAGGAGACUGGAAUUCAUGGUGUAGCAGUGAAAUGCGUAGAGAUCAUGAGGAAGACCAGUGGCGAAGGCGGGUCUCUGGACAAUUGCUGACGCUCAGGCACGAAAGCGUGGGGAGCAAAAGGG